GACGAACCGUCCAAACGUUAUUCGGAAUCACUGGGCUUACAGAGUUCGUAGGCGGUCUGGAAAGUUGGGUGUGAAAUCCCUCGGCUCAACCGAGGAACUGCGCUUGAAACUACCAGACUCGAGGGAGAUAGAGGAAAGCGGAACUGAUGGUGGAGCGGUGAAAUGCGUUGAUAUCAUCAGGAACACCGGUGGCGAAGGCGGCUUUCUGGGUCUUACCUGACGCUGAGGCACGAAAGCGUGGGGAGCAAACAGG
rnacentral:rRNA from 1 species